rnacentral:tRNA from 1 species
GGGGCCGUAGCCCAGCAAGGCAACAAGCCCUGGAAAGGUAGGGCGUCCGGCUCCAGACCGGAAGGUCGGGGGUUCAAAUCCCUCCGGCCCCA